GCGGCCCUCCCGCUGUCCAUCCAGCCCUUGGCCACCCCCCCUCCCCGGUACCCUGCGAGAGAGGAGGAGGAGAAGGGAGCACGCGAGGAGUAACAGCGCUUACAAAUGAAGCAGCAGCUUAGAAAAAAAUAACAAUUGCUUUAUUAGGAAGUUUAAUUCAAAGUACAGGAGGAAGCUGAAGAGGAAGGGUGUUUGUUCCAGAUUGCCACCCUAGGACACAGAAGGAGAGGGACGGCGUCGCUUCCAGGGCCAGGAUGGGGAUGCUGUGCCUAUGGGGCACGUCCAGGCCCCGCUCUCCUCUUCAGAUCCUUCCCUGCUCCUCGUGGAAGCCACUUAUUGCCUCCUCUGGCGAUGCUGAGCUGCGGUUCCAUGGCUCGCAGUACUGAGCUCUCCAUGCCGGCUGUGAGCUCAGGCAGCACAGUGCCAGGGCUUGUGAAUAAAACUGCCUCACCCCCAGCCGGCACACUGCUCUGUUCCUCCUCCACGGAGGCACUGCAGAGCUGAGCACGGCGCUCACACCAAGAGCUGGCUUUUGUUAUCCACAGCCCAACCCUGGCAGUGAGGAGAGCCACGCUCCCAACAGUUGUCGUGAGGUCACGGCCUUCACGUUACCAUCCCAUUUUGUCUUGUAUUCCCUCUCCUUCAUCAAGCAAUUCUCUCUUCUCUACUUCAUGCACUCUGCUUCCCAGCACCUGACUUAGCUCAAAAAUGGAGCUGAGCCCAGCCUUUCACAUUCGUCAGCACAUUCUCCACCAGAGCAGCACUCCAGGGACACAACAGUGCUUACAUGCUCACAACGUUUUAGCCUAGUGAAGCUUUCAGUGCGAAAGCCCAGGAGCUCAGGAACCUCUACCCCUGGGGGAGGGACAUCAGAGGGGAAACCAGUCUGGAUCUGCUGCUGUGGCAGCAGAAAGCAUUGGCUAACAGCCUAGUUCAGAGACAGCCUACCUGCCCUCCAUGCACACCAAUAUCACACGAGUACUCAGGCUUCAACUCAACUCAACUGCAACCUACGUUUUCUUCUACCAAGCCCUCAGGAGAUCAUCUGCCAUCACUUCCCAGUCUAGAGCACAUUUGGGAACAGACCUUUCCAGGAGGGAGGGCUCCAGCAGAGCCACUCAACCCAGCACUCGCAGGAACAGCUCAAGUCGAGCUGCAGUGCAGCACUGGCUCAGCAUGACUGUCACUGCAUCAGGGCUGAUCGGGAGCCUGAGCCCGUGCUCCUCGUAAUCUGAUGGUGAAGGGAUUCACAGAACAGUCCAGGUCCAGAAGAGAGAAAGCAAAGGAAAAGCAGACGCUCCGGAGAGCACAGCCACGCUUAGUGCUUUGGUUUCUAAAAGACGCUUCCUAUUUUGGCACUUUGGAUAGAAGAUACACACAGAGGUUCCAUGUGUUCCAGUGAACACCUUUUGUUCUACAAAGAAAAAUAUUUGCAUUGAUCUGCUCCAAGCUAACCAUUUGAAAUGAAGAGGCCUGAAAAGGCCUUCAGCUGAAAGGUGCCUAACAGGAAUUUCUGAGAGAAGAGUUCACAUGGAUUCUGAAAACAGCAGACUGGCUUUCUAACUCACGGCCCAGCGCUACGCUCGGAGGGCAGGGAAGUAUUUGGGAGGCUCUGCAGCAGGGGCUGAGUGCCGCAUGCUUUAAAGCUCAUUGCCUGAGUGCUCCAGAGGUUGGCACUGCUG
ensembl:lncRNA